CACCUGCGCCACGAGUGGCAUUCACGUUUAUUGGGCCUAAAGCGUUCGUAGCCGGAUAGAUCAGUCUUGAGUGAAAUCGUUGCGCUUAACAAAACGACGUGCUUGGGAUACUGUUUAUCUAGGGACCGGGAGGCGUUAGAGGUAUUCCUAAGGGAGCGGUAAAAUGCUAUAAUCUUGGGAGGACCACCUGUGGCGAAGGCGUCUAACGAGAACGGGUCCGACGGUCAGGAACGAAAGCUAGGGGAGCAAACCGG
rnacentral:rRNA from 1 species